UCGUGUAUUAUUUUUGUUCUGGAACGAAAGCGAAUUGAAACAAGUCAUGUUUUCAUGCCCCAUGCAUACACACAUAUGUAGUUACUAAUAUAUAUAUGUACAUACAUGUGCACAUAUGUACAUAUGUAUGUAUGUAUUUAUUAUUUAAGUAGUAAUAGAUCCUGUAGUAGUGCGAAUAGAAUUCGCGCAGACAGGGCAAUAUAAAUCGUGCGCUGCAAUAGCAAACGAAACGGUCGCAAAGAGCAAAAGUAAAGCUCAAUACGUGCACACCAUCAUAGAUGAAUAUGUUAUUGCUGAAACAUAAAAACAAAAAACUAUAUUUUUGGUUGCGGAGCGCAAAAGCCCCAACCAGAGCAAAAAACACUAACACAUCAACAACAGCGCGCACAAGCACACGGAUAAAAAUACAUACAUACAUAAAUACAUUCGCGCGAGCAAAGAAUGCUACAGAACUUUCAAACAUUGCGCAAGGGACAAGUAGAAUACAUGAAUGAAAGAACGGCAAUGGCAGAGAGUGUGUGUGACGGAGAGGGAGAAGGAGAGAGAGAAAGAUAGAGAGAGAGAGAGGAAGAUAGAGAGAAUGAGUGAGAGCGUGAAUGAGAGAACGAAAUGCGGCUGAAGGCCACGACGUGUUGUGUGGAAACGAUGGCAGCGAUGGUAGCAUCGGUGUGUGGGGCAGUAGGGCAACUAUGAUGGUGUGGAAGAACAACAGGAACAGGAAGAAACGUCAAAAACUUAACGAAACAUAGCUGCAAGUGUGAGUGAACGUGCGACGGAGAGCGAAUGCUAGAAGCUAGAAGCGACAUACACACACACACGAAAGCAUCGCGGCUUCCAUGAGGCCUGCGUCUAACGGCGACGACAUUGAGCGGUGGCACCUUUAACCGAUCGCAGCACAGCGCAGUUCCUGUUUGAGUGUCCGCGUGUCCGUUGCGUAGCUUGUGUGCGGAAUGCGGAAAUAAAAGCCAGUUAAAAUUCGGUAUAAAUACAUACAUAUAUGUAUGUGAGUUUGUUUCGUAUGCAUAUUGCGUCGUGCUUGUGGUCCUGCCACGCAAAAUGCCGCAAGCAACCCUCGUUUAAGCCGUUAGCGACAAAAGCCCAAAAAUAAAAACAAAAAACACAAAAUCUGAGCUGAGAGAUGUGAAGAAUGUAGCAAUGAGUUGUGCCAGCUUCAGCAUGGAAAUUUAAUUAGCGACACCCGAGUGAACCAGCUACAACAACAUCAAUGAUAGCAAACACACACACACUCUACAUAGAGAUACGCCUACACAUAAUGGAGGACAAAAAGGGCCAGCGAAGUAAAAGUAAACAAAUAAUACCAAAAAAAAAAAAAGGGAAAAAAUUAAGAAAAAUAAAUCAUGCGAGCAGAAGAAGAAGAGCUACAAAAUGUGUUCAGCUUUCGCAUGACGCCAGCAAACAGCAGCGACUGCGACAGCGACCGAGGCAGAGCCAGCAAAUGGUAAACAGCAAUAGCAGCAGCAAUAAAGGAAGGAACAAUGAAAAUGCAGCAGCAGAGAGUCGUCGCCUAGCCAGCCCUCCCUUGCCCACUGUUGCUGCUGCAACUGACGUUGGCGCGCUGUGUGUGCGAGCGAGCGGACAAACAAAAAUGGCGCAUGACAUGCGCACUGAGCAAGCGGCUAACUUGAACUUGAAAAUGUUUUUAUUGUUGCGCUUGUCGUCAUCGAAGGUUGUGUGUGUGUUCCAUUUAAUAUGACGCGACUGCGACACCAGCAGAGCACAGAGAGCAGCGCAAAGCCGGCAACUAACAAAAAAAGAGUGGAAAGCAACGAAGAGAGACUGGGACAGAGACACAACGAGCGGGAGACGCAGAGAGUAAGAGAGCGCAGCGAGGGCGUAAGCAAGAGUGAGCACGCUGCUAGGCUAAGCUUGCUAGCAGCAGGUAUGUAUAUAUGUAUGGAUAUGUGUGUGUGUGUAUAUAUGUAUGCAUAUAUGUCUGCACCAUGUGAGAGGUAAAUAAGUCAAUGUGAAAAGAAAAACAAAAACAAACGACGAAGUGAGAGAAUGCGAAAGCUUUUUAUUAUAGCUUUUGCGUGGGUGACUUAAAGCAGCGCAGUUGCGUCGCUGCCGACGUCUGACAACUGUUUGCUUUUGUUGUAUGCCCCAUAGCCAGCUGCCCGAAACUUUCUCUUUCGCUGCGUCAAUGUGUGUGCAUGUGUAUAUGCGUGUGUGGGCGUGUGAGUGAAUAAUGCUGUUGCAUAUUUACUGGGAUACAAUGACGCGCACCUGUGCGAACACAGCUGCAGCCAACAGGAUGCUGUUGCGGCUGCGAUGCCUAGUUGCCAGCCCGUCACACAGUUAUUCAGUUCUUCAGUGGUUCAGUGUCGAACGCACUCCCGUCGAGGUCAGGCAGCUACGAAACGAAGCACAGUUGCCAUACAUGCAUACAUACAUACAUACAUGCAUACAUAUAAAUAAAUAACUAUCUAUAUAGAUAAGUUAGUAUGUCUGUGUGGAAUUGCUAUAUGAGUGGGUUAAUUGUGUGACGCGUUGCUCGAAGUAAAAGAAGCAGACAAAAAAAAAAAAAACAAUUUGAAAACCAAAAAUAACAUUCAGGUGUGGAAAAAUUGAUUAGCAGCUAAAAAUAUAAAUGUGUGUGUGCGUGUGUCAGCGUGUUUCUGUGUGAAUUUUUCUGUACUGUGUAUGCGAUUUUCCUUCAUAAUUUUUAAUGUUUUCCUAGCAUAUGGAAAGCAAAUUCUGAAUAAUGUAUGCGGUGCACACACACAUAUAUAUAGACACGCACACACACACACUCUGAGUCUUAGCUCAUACUGCGCCUUGGCAUAUGCAACACAUUUUGGUCUUGUAUUUAUUACGCUUUGACCUUUUCAUAUACACACACAUACACAAACGCACACACACGCCCUUAGCACACGAUGCGAUGCGUAAGCAAAAGCAGCUUUUCUAUUAUUUACUAUGCAACUUACAUAUAAAGUUAACUACAUAUAUAUGAAUGUAUGUAGAUAUAUUGUGUAUGUAUGUAAUUAUGUAUGUUUGUUUUUUACAUUAAACGGGCAGAUGGCAAAAAAUUUAAAUCAUUAAAGGCAAAACAAUAAAAAGAAAAUGUUUCUAUUUUGAAAUACAGUAAGAGCUCUUUAAACCGGGCACCUGAGGAAUAUUUGUGCCUUAAUGCGAUGUGGCUAGAAUAAAAUAAUAUUAGAAAGCAUGUUACAAAAAAA